AUUGAACGCUGGCGGAAUGCUUUACACAUGCAAGUCGAACGGCAGCACGGGAGCUUGCUCCUGGUGGCGAGUGGCGAACGGGUGAGUAACAUAUCGGAACGUACCCAGUCGUGGGGGAUAACUAUCCGAAAGGAUAGCUAAUACCGCAUACGUCCUGAGGGAGAAAGCGGGGGGAUCGCAAGACCUCGCGCGAUUGGAGCGGCCGAUAUCGGAUUAGCUAGUUGGUGGGGUAAAAGGCUCACCAAGGCGACGAUCCGUAGCGGGUCUGAGAGGACGACCCGCCACACUGGAACUGAGACACGGUCCAGACUCUACGGGAGGCAGCAGUGGGGAAUUUUGGACAAUGGGGGCAACCCUGAUCCAGCCAUUCCGCGUGAGUGAAGAAGGCCU
rnacentral:rRNA from 1 species